GUUAGAAGGAUGCAAACCCAGUGUGACAUACUCACAGGUCACUAUGGGACCCUUGCCUUAUGGGAUGGAGAAAUGGGCCAUGACCGACCAUGGGGACUUCCAGUGCUGACUCCAUGAGACUCGUGUGAGCAGCGAGUCACCUCCAGCCUCACCUGGUAGACGGAGGUGGGAGAGACAGGGAAACAGACAGAAGGAGGCCUGGCCCAGAUCCUUGCACCCAAGCUGAGGUCUCUUUGACGUUAUUUUCAACAAAGGAAAUGUAUGCAUUUUCCAAAGUCAUGAAUUGAGGCACAUUUCUCUGGCUCUUGACAAUGGCUCUGUCACUGGAAUGGCUAGUGGUGGGGCCUCCACUGAGAUGCGGGUGCUGUCUCAGCCCAACCGCUGUGCACUCCUUGAGUCAGCACGGGUUCCCGGCCAUUUGGUUAUUUUUGAUCGCCAUGGCAAAAUAAAUAAUGAAUCAUCAGCAGGCUACGCACACCUUUCAAAAGAGUUUGUGGUUUUUGUCAAGGGUGUGUUGCUCAACAGUGCAGUGGUUCUGCUUGCCACCAGCCUGUGCCAGGCCCUCUGCCUCCAGCCGGAUGGGAGCUGCACGGGCGUAGGAAAGCUGUCUGAAAAGUCCUACUGGAGAGUGCAUAAAAUCAGCUCUGGGAUAUGCAUGUUUGAAAGUGUGAAGAAUGCACGGAUGUUUCUGAGGAUUAAGGACGGACGGUGUGACGGAGCUGGUAUAGGAGACAGUGACUGUCAUUUUAAAAUUAAGAAGAACUUGGAAAAUGCAUGUAUAAGCCUGGAAUCGGUGAAGAGCCCAGGAUUGUUUGUUGGACUUCAGUCAGAUGGACAGGCAAAACCAGUUGUUUAUACUGAGAACGGGAGUGUUUUCUUCUAUCCACAAGUCAUCAAAUUUGGCAGAGAAAACCCAAGUGGUAUGUCUGUAACACCCAGCCAAGAAGAGGAGAAGAUCCUGGAGUCAAGAAACCAGCAAGAAAUGCCAUCAGAACCAGAGGCCAGAGGAGCCUCUUCUUCAACUGCACGAAGAAGAGGAUUUGAAGAUUUGCAGCUCAUUUGCAGAUUAAGUCAAACAAACAAGCUCAACAUACACACACAGAAGCACACGUACAAAAUUGUGCGUUCAUACCGCAAAGCUGAAACCAAGUAACCAUGAUGUCUUGACCCUGCUCCAAGAUGGUUUCCAUUUAUGUCUCAGGGCAUAAUCCAUGCAGAGAUUGACUUGGUCUUCAAG
rnacentral:lncRNA from 1 species